GGAGUUGUGGCUCAGUGGUAGAGCACUCACCUAGCAAAUGUGAGGCCCUGGGUUCGAUCCUCAGCACCA
rnacentral:tRNA from 1 species